GGGCGUAUAGCUCAGUUGGUAGAGCGCUCGCCUUACAAGCGAGUGGUCACAGGUUCGAGUCCUGUUACGCCCA
rnacentral:tRNA from 2 species